ACUCUUGGGAGAGAUUCUUGUAGGCACACCAUAGAUAGUCCAUCUGAGAUGUGGAGAGGAGGCAUCAAACAAAAGGUGCUACCCCAGCUAGGCAAUGUUGGAACCUGUACACAUCAGCCCCCAUCAUCCUCUUCACCCUGACACAAUGGGGGUAUGAUUUGUGUUUGAAGAGCUGAGUCAUGGCUAUUCUUCAGAGUCCCUGGAACAGUGGAGUGUCUGUGUGGAAGUCACUAGGUGUGCCUAAGCCACGGGGAGGAUGGAUGUGGUGGUACAGUAGAAACAACGUUGGACUCUCAAGCUUGAGGUCCCAAAUUUAAUUUCUGGAAGCACACAUGAUUCUAUGGUUUGCUUUAUCUCUUGCCCUAUAGCUCUCAUAAAUAAAUAAAUUAUUAUUCUUAACUAAAAUGGAGUGGAGGCUUAACCAUCACCAGUUUACUUGGAGCUUUGGGACAUUUUUACUGAGAAGUCCAGGUCAGGGCAUCCAGGAAGUGACCUCACCACCUUGUGCUAGAAACCAACAGACUUAGAACCCUGGUCACCAGGCAACCACAUUCUAUACACAGACCCCUGCCCAGGUCAUUGGGCUUUUAGAACUGGCAAGGGGAAGAUGUUUUCCUGUGUGAAGGGCUCCUUAGGCCAUAGCCUGAGGAAAGGCCUCAAUAAGGGAAAAGGGAAUCAACUGAGAGUGCCUCAGCCAGAGAACUUGGUGAUGAUUUGAUAGUGGCUUUGAUGCCUGCUUCUCCUGAGAUCCAGAAGCUAGAGCCAGCAGAAGUGGUUUAAUGAUUGACAAGAUUAUAGGAUAAGAGGGACACAAUUUCCAUACAAUCCCCACCAGCAGAGUUCCAUGUCCCAUCCCCUCCAAUGGAAGAUUUCCUAUUCUUUAUCCCUCUGGGAGGAUGAACCAAAAUACCUUAUGAAGUGCAGAAGGUGGAAGGUCUGGCUUCUGUAAUUGCUUCUCCACCUAACAUGGGUGCCAGGAAACAGCUCCUCGAAAGUAAUUAAAGAGUCCCUGAAUGAAAGGGGGAGUCGGCGAUGAAGAAGUGAGAGACACGUCAGCUGCUUCAGGUGCAGGAGAGAGGUGUCUCUGCCCUCUGUCUGCAGAGGUUUAUUAUGUAAACACUUUUUGCCCGGAUAUAGUUGACAUAAUGUAAGAUUAUUUUCAUUAACAUCAAGGAUACAGAUGACAUCAUGUGUAAUUGUUUUCGUGAACAUCAGGAAUAACCUUAAACAACAUUAUUAUUAUUAUUAUAGGUAUGUUUCCUUAGAAAGUUUACUAGGUCUGGGGCAUCCUGAUCUCCCCUAGAAAGUUUCUUGGGUCUGGUAAAGUCUAAAUCUACCCUUGAAAGUUUUCUUGGUCUGAAGUAGUCUAAAUUUCCCCUUGAAAGUUCCCUUGAAAUGACCAACUCUGUUUUGACCAUUUCCCUGUUCUGACCUUCUGUAUGAAUAAACAGUUUUCUCUGGA